rnacentral:lncRNA from 10 species
GCUUCCAUUUUUUGGGUAAUCAUGUAUAAAGUUGCAAUAAAUAUUUGUGUGUAGGUAUUCAUGUGGAUUUAGGCUUUUAACUCAUUUGGGUAAAAUACCUAGCAAGAUUGCUAGAUUUUCAGGGUAUGCAUAAGUUUAGAAAGCACAUAAGAAACUUUCAAGAAAGUUUGUAAGAAACCCCUUGACUGGUUCCAAAGUGGCUCUACCCUUUUUCAUUCCCACCAGCAACGAAUGACAGUUCUUGGUGCUCCACAUCCACACCAGAAUUUGGUAUUGGAGACAAGUGUUUUAAAGACAUAGUUUGAUUGAAUCUGCGGAUGUGGUAGAUGUGGGUGGGAGAUGUAACUUCCAUCUGUGUAUUUUGACUUAAGUGAGAAACUGAACUGGGCUGGCAAAGACUGAAUUGACAUCAACCAAAUCCUAAUUUUAUAGCCAGGAUUCUUCAUUUAGAUAUCCUCAUUCAAGUUUAUUGUUUGGCCAUUCUAAUGUUAAAUUUCAGGAUCUAUCUUAAACAAAAUAAGGAAAAUGAUAGAGUUUUCCAUUUCUGGGCUAUUUUAAAUAUAUAUGGAAUAUUCAUGAUAGUGAUAGUUUAUUUAGAUUUCCAAAUUGGAAAACCAAUAUUAAUGAAAAUAUAUAGUGUCUUAACAUGUUAGUUAAAUUUUAGUGUGAGACUCUUAACCUCUCUGUAUUUAGUUUUCUGACAUAGGAAAACCUUUAAGAAACCUCUAAUAUUUCUUUCAGGUCAGAAAAACUGGCCUCAUAGGGUUGUAAAAUAGAAAAUUCAGUUAUGGAGGUAUGUGAACUCUAAAUUUUCUAUGAAUACUGGCCAAAUACCCAUAACAAGUAAAACCAUCAAAUUCAAACAUAAAAAACCCUCUUCCAGGUGUAAAAUGGCAUAAUUAUAUAUUUAUAAUUUAUAAUUUUCUCUCUCAAUUAGAGAUGAACCCAAACAUACUCGUAGACGUCUAACCAAUUAUGUAACUUUGGGCUCGUCACUUAAUAUUCUUGGGCCACAGUUUAUUCAUCUUGAGGGUGGUGAAUCUUCCUGUUGCCUUUUAGCAUUAAUUAAUGCUUUAAAAUUCUCCAGGAAUAACAAGAGGAAUUUGAGUUGCCACAGUGUGACAGAAGUAAGGUAGAGAAAUAUUAUAGUGAUUGUUUAUUCUUGUACACUUUUCAAGAAGUGCUAACAUCUUGGGAAGUCAGAUAUUUAUGUUAAAUUUUUAUUUUUCACAUUGUAUUUCUGCCAUUGACCUAAUAAAACUAAGUUCUUUACAAAUGUCUUUAUAAUUCUUUUUUCAAAUUUAGUAGUUUUGAAAUUCUUCCUGAUCCAGCCAAGUCAUCCAUUAAAUUUUACUCUUUAGGGUAUCAGUACAUUGACAAGGCAUAUAACUCCUUUGACUAGGAAUUUGAGUGGAUACAGUGUUUUAAUUGGAUGUAAUCAUAUAUGAUGUGGUAAACUUGUAUCCCACUUUUACAUCUUCUGUGGAAACUUGAAACAUUUUCUAACUCAGUAGAUGUUUUAUAAUUUCCAUUUGAUAAUUUUGAUAGUUUUGCUUAUGUGGAAACAUUUCAUGGGAGACAUUUAAGUUUUGUUUGAUAAUGUAUAGAUUCCCAUAGAUUUUGAUAGCUCUCAUAAUGCUGACUAUUCACAAUGAGGUCACUCAUUCUGUGUAUUCUUGCCUGCAUUUUAAGUGUCCAAGUGAAUUUUGUUCACUGUCCUAAAUGCAACCCUAAGACAAAAUUUAUUGGUUUCUAUGCUGAUAUAGCAUAUCCUUAAUUGGAUAUUACUGUUAUCCUUGUUCUGUUUACUGACAAUGUUCUGUGGCCAGCUGUGUUUAUGCAGAAUUUACAUUUGAUAAAUGUUUCAUAACAAUUCAUAAUAAUGUACCAUUCUUGGUACACCAUAACAGGCACAUAAACUUUCGAACUGUGUUUCUUUUUCUAGUAAUAUAUUUGGACACAUUCACUUCUAGGUUCCCUUAGGAUUCCAAAUGCAAACUGAGUCUAAAAUGUGCCAUUGCACAUGGAGCUCUGAGGCAUUUUGCUCUACAGAACACAGAAGAGUCUUCUUAGCAUGUUUUCAUUUACAGAGUGGCCUCAUUCUGAAUAGUCAGCAUUAUGAGAUCUAUUGAUCUAUGAAAAUCUGUACAUUACCAAUCAGAACCUAAAAGUCUCCCAUGAAAUGUUUCUACAUAAGCAAAACAAUCAAAGGUAGUUAGGCAACAAAGUAUAUGGUUUAGUAGAAUGACUCCACCUAAUCGGUAUGACAACGCUGGUUACUGGGAAUAUUAUAAAUUCACUACAGAAUUGUUUCUUUGAUUCUGUAAGUAGCUCACUAGGGACAUUACUAUAAUUGAGCUAAAAAUGAAGGACAGUAAUAGUAGAAACAGUAAUUUGGAGUUAAUUGACUUAAUCAGUAUUACUUCAUGUGAUUCUGCCCGCUUUAUUGAAGAAAUUGUGCUGGAUGAGUACAUGAAUCAAAAUGCAUAUUUUAAUGUUCCUGCACCUCUGUUGUGUCAACAAUAAAUGCGGAUUGUUAUACAUUUAAGGGGAGAUGAGAAAAAAUUUAGGUGUCAAUUCUGAACUGAUUGCUUUUUAAAAUUUUAGUUGAUUGUUAAUGAUGAAUGAGUAGCCCGAAUUUUAAAGCAAUUUUACAUAAAUGUAAUAAAUAGAAAGAUAAAGAAGUAAAUGGCAUUCAAUACAUUUCCUAGUUACUUAGGUCCUGUGUAGAAGGAGAGAGGUAGAAAUUAUAGUCACAUAAUUGUAUAUGCUACUGAAGUAGAUAUUUAGGGCACAGUGAAAGUCUUUUGCCUUGAGAGUAGAUAAUGAUUUCUAGUAGAGAAAAGGCAUGAGCAGGCUGCAUGCCUCCCCCGACUGAUACAGUAAACCUUCAUCUUUUAUAUCAUUUUUCCCAAAUUGUUGUUGUUGCUGGUGCUCUGUUGUUUUGUUCUUUUUCUUUCUUUCUCUUUUCCUGCAAACAGUUCAAUGUCACACUGAGUUGGUGCUACUCCAGCUGGGUGUCUAAACCAUUCUGAGCUGACAUUUCUGGGAAGAGUAAUUCAGUGAUUUCUGACAAGCAUAAAGCUUGCAUGUGUAUGUGUGUGUAUGUGUGGAGAGAAGGUAAAGAACAUGUGGAGAAGUCUGUAGUUUGAAGCAUAGAGAAAAGGAGAAACUCUAAGUAUUAUAUUACUUAAAGUUUUAGUGGCGCAAGUAAAAAUGGAUGUGAAGGUUGUCAUUGCUAACAAAUGUAUAAUUGAUAGGAGGCAUUUCUAUGAUUUUACUGGCAGUUUCAUCAGUUAACCAUUUUAAUAGUAAAAUUUAUUUCUUCUGAAAAGUGUGUAUUAAUCAGCUGCUCUGCAAGGUCUGGUGUUGGCCACUGUGUUUUUUAAAACACUCAGAUGAUGGCCGAAGGAUACUGAGAUUUUCCCUAUUUUUGAACUGCUUGAGUGAGCCAGGGUGCUACAACCCAUUUUCCCCUCCUACACACUGCUAGACAACCACUGGAAAAAAAGUCAACUGAGGUGGAAAAAAUAGCUCUGCCUUUGAUAGACUGUGAAGAAAAUAAAGAUUAACAAAAGCUCUGGCCAGAGAGGAAAACAUAGAUGUUGCCUUAACAUUAACAUUAAUGUCAUUUCAGAGCCUUUGAAUCAUGCCUUAAUAACCAGUGUUGUAGAAAAAAUAAAUGACAAAAUGGGGUGUGUGUGUGUGUGUGUGUGUGUGUGUGUGUGUGUGGUGGAGGGUUACAUGUUCUGUAGUUAAAAAAAGUAUUUGACAUAGAAAAAUUAGCUCUAGAAGAAGCUAGCCUGUAUUUAAAAGGCUUCAGGAGCAUCCGGCAGAAAUAUUUUUCUCCAUUGACUGUUUGGCUAAACAAAGAAUAAUUUGUAAUCUGCUCCAUUAAUAAAGUGCCUUUCCCCUUAAAGGACUACAGAUCACUAUGCUUGCUGUUUCUACUUGUGUUGGUUAUUUACAAGAUAGUGUACCAAAAAACAUUUUGCAAUUGGUACGUUGAAGAUACAUGGUUAAAAGUUGAAUCAAAAGCAACAGCAGCCACAAUAAUAACAAGAGCAACAACAAAACAAAAGCUGCAAACAAACCUACUUUCUUUCCUUAUGUUACUGUAUGACAUCAUUGCUUUGAGUAAAGAAUACAGUAGUAUUAAUUUAAAUGCUUAAAUUUAUAUUUAUACAAAUGUUGAUAGCAUGGUCAUUGAAAUAGUUUUGCAAGUCCUCACAGGUUUUCAGUUUACCAUAUAAAGAGAUUGAUCUGUAUGUGUAAUUUGUGCUUUAAGUGGUAGUUUUAAUAGUUACUGGACCUCACAGUUUAAUGGGCAUGUUUAUAAUGCUACAUCAAUUACCACAUUUUCUCAUAGUUCUGUAUAUUGUGAGAAGAAAAUGAAAAAAGUGCUGUUUAACUAAGUACAGGAAUGUGGAGCCAGGAAAUCUCAUGCUCUGAUGCCAUUUCUUCUCCCAGUGUUCUUUGUAACUUUGGUUGGCUUCCUGACUCCAAUUUACAUUUUUUCAGUUAUUAAAUUAUUUUCUGGUUAUUCAUAACAUUUUCACCUCAGACAUUUCAAUGUCACAAAUGAAAAUUAAGUUGUUUCAGACUAAAUGCUACUGUUGCUACCUCAGUCUGUUAAUAUUUCAACUUUAGUAGUAGUUUCUAUAGUAAAAAUAUUGUUUUUGUUAUUAUAACAAUUAUUUGCAAGAGAAUCUUAAGAAGGUUUGUCUUUUAUAAAUAAAUUAUACUAUAUUGGAUAUCUAUGAAAUAUGUAAUGAUACAUGAAAGGGAAUGGCUUAUAUUCAUCAUUAAAAUAAUUUUACAUUUAAAAAAUUAA